ACGAACGCUGGCGGCGUGCUUAACACAUGCAAGUCGAACGGAAAGGCCCUGCUUGCAGGGUACUCGAGUGGCGAACGGGUGAGUAACACGUGGGUGAUCUGCCCUGCACUUCGGGAUAAGCCUGGGAAACUGGGUCUAAUACCGGAUAGGAGCCAUUUUUAGUGUGAUGGUUGGAAAGUUUUUUCGGUGUAGGAUGAGCUCGCGGCCUAUCAGCUUGUUGGUGGGGUAAUGGCCUACCAAGGCGGCGACGGGUAGCCGGCCUGAGAGGGUGGACGGCCACAUUGGGACUGAGAUACGGCCCAGACUCCUACGGGAGGCAGCAGUGGGGAAUAUUGCACAAUGGGCGCAAGCCUGAUGCAGCGACGCCGCGUGGGGGAUGACGGCCUUCGGGUUGUAAACUCCUUUCGCUAGGGACGAAGCCUUUUGUGACGGUACCUAGAGAAGAAGCACCGGCUAACUACGUG
rnacentral:rRNA from 1 species